UACGAAGGGGGCUAGCGUUGCUCGGAAUUACUGGGCGUAAAGGGCGCGUAGGCGGAUAGUUUAGUCAGAGGUGAAAGCCCAGGGCUCAACCUUGGAAUUGCCUUUUAUACUGGCUGUCUUGAGUACGGGAGAGGUGAGUGGAACUCCGAGUGUAGAGGUGAAAUUCGUAGAUAUUCGGAAGAACACCAGUGGCGAAGGCGACUUACUGGACACAUAUUGACGCUGAGGUGCGAAAGCGUGGGGAGCAAACAGG
rnacentral:rRNA from 1 species